GACGAACGCUGGCGGCGUGCUUAAAACAUGCAAGUCGAACGGAAAGGCCCUGCUUUUGUGGGGUGCUCGAGUGGCGAACGGGUGAGUAACACGUGAGUAACCUGCCCUUGACUUUGGGAUAACUUCAGGAAACUGGGGCUAAUACCGGAUAGGAGCUCCUGCUGCAUGGUGGGGGUUGGAAAGUUUCGGCGGUUGGGGAUGGACUCGCGGCUUAUCAGCUUGUUGGUGGGGUAGUGGCUUACCAAGGCUUUGACGGGUAGCCGGCCUGAGAGGGUGACGGGCCACAUUGGGACUGAGAUACGGCCCAGACUCCUACGGGAGGCAGCAGUGGGGAAUAUUGCACAAUGGGCGGAAGCCUGAUGCAGCAACGCCGCGUGCGGGAUGACGGCCUUCGGGUUGUAAACCGCUUUCGCCUGUGACGAAGCGUGAGUGACGGUAAUGGGUAAAGAAGCACCGGCUAACUACGUG
rnacentral:rRNA from 1 species